rnacentral:rRNA from 1 species
UCAAGUGAAGAAGCGCAUACGGUGGAUGCCUUGGCAGUCAGAGGCGAUGAAAGACGUGGUAGCCUGCGAAAAGCUUCGGGGAGUCGGCAAACAGACUUUGAUCCGGAGAUCUCUGAAUGGGGAACCCACCUAGGAUAACCUAGGUAUCUUGUACUGAAUCCAUAGGUGCAAGAGGCGAACCAGGGGAACUGAAACAUCUAAGUACCCUGAGGAAAAGAAAUCAACCGAGAUUCCCUUAGUAGUGGCGAGCGAACGGGGAUUAGCCCUUAAGCUUCAUUGAUUUUAGCGGAACGCUCUGGAAAGUGCGGCCAUAGUGGGUGAUAGCCCCGUACGCGAAAGGAUCUUUGAAGUGAAAUCGAGUAGGACGGAGCACGAGAAACUUUGUCUGAACAUGGGGGGACCAUCCUCCAAGGCUAAAUACUACUGACUGACCGAUAGUGAACCAGUACCGUGAGGGAAAGGCGAAAAGAACCCCGGAGAGGGGAGUGAAAUAGAACCUGAAACCGUAUGCGUACAAGCAGUGGGGAGCCUACUUGUUAGGUGACUGCGUACCUUUUGUAUAAUGGGUCAGCGACUUAUAUUCAGUGGCAAGCUUAACCGUAUAGGGUAGGCGUAGCGAAAGCGAGUCUUAAUAGGGCGUUUAGUCGCUGGGUAUAGACCCGAAACCGGGCGAUCUAUCCAUGAGCAGGUUGAAGGUUAGGUAACACUGACUGGAGGACCGAACCCACUCCCGUUGAAAAGGUAGGGGAUGACUUGUGGAUCGGAGUGAAAGGCUAAUCAAGCUCGGAAGAUAGCUGGUUCUCCUCGAAAGCUAUUUAGGUAGCGCCUCAUGUAUCACUCUGGGGGGUAGAGCACUGGUUUCGGCUAGGGGGUCAUCCCGACUUACCAAAACCGAUGCAAACUCCGAAUACCCAGAAGUGCCGAGCAUGGGAGACACACGGCGGGUGCUAACGUCCGUCGUGAAAAGGGAAACAACCCAGACCGCCAGCUAAGGUCCCAAAGUUGUGGUUAAGUGGUAAACGAUGUGGGAAGGCUUAGACAGCUAGGAGGUUGGCUUAGAAGCAGCCAUCCUUUAAAGAAAGCGUAAUAGCUCACUAGUCGAGUCGGCCUGCGCGGAAGAUGUAACGGGGCUCAAACCACACACCGAAGCUGCGGGUGUCACGUAAGUGACGCGGUAGAGGAGCGUUCUGUAAGCCUGUGAAGGUGAGUUGAGAAGCUUGCUGGAGGUAUCAGAAGUGCGAAUGCUGACAUGAGUAACGACAAUGGGUGUGAAAAACACCCACGCCGAAAGACCAAGGGUUCCUGCGCAACGUUAAUCGACGCAGGGUUAGUCGGUUCCUAAGGCGAGGCUGAAAAGCGUAGUCGAUGGGAAACAGGUUAAUAUUCCUGUACUUCUGGUUACUGCGAUGGAGGGACGGAGAAGGCUAGGCCAGCUUGGCGUUGGUUGUCCAAGUUUAAGGUGGUAGGCUGAAAUCUUAGGUAAAUCCGGGGUUUCAAGGCCGAGAGCUGAUGACGAGUCGUCUUUUAGAUGACGAAGUGGUUGAUGCCAUGCUUCCAAGAAAAGCUUCUAAGCUUCAGGUAACCAGGAACCGUACCCCAAACCGACACAGGUGGUCGGGUAGAGAAUACCAAGGCGCUUGAGAGAACUCGGGUGAAGGAACUAGGCAAAAUGGCACCGUAACUUCGGGAGAAGGUGCGCCGGCUAGGGUGAAGGAUUUACUCCGUAAGCUCUGGCUGGUCGAAGAUACCAGGCCGCUGCGACUGUUUAUUAAAAACACAGCACUCUGCAAACACGAAAGUGGACGUAUAGGGUGUGACGCCUGCCCGGUGCCGGAAGGUUAAUUGAUGGGGUUAGCGCAAGCGAAGCUCUUGAUCGAAGCCCCGGUAAACGGCGGCCGUAACUAUAACGGUCCUAAGGUAGCGAAAUUCCUUGUCGGGUAAGUUCCGACCUGCACGAAUGGCGUAACGAUGGCGGCGCUGUCUCCACCCGAGACUCAGUGAAAUUGAAAUCGCUGUGAAGAUGCAGUGUAUCCGCGGCUAGACGGAAAGACCCCGUGAACCUUUACUGUAGCUUUUGCACUGGACUUUGAGCCUGCUUGUGUAGGAUAGGUGGGAGGCUUUGAAGCGUGGACGCCAGUUCGCGUGGAGCCAUCCUUGAAAUACCACCCUGGCAUGCUUGAGGUUCUAACUCUGGUCCGUGAUCCGGAUCGAGGACAGUGUAUGGUGGGCAGUUUGACUGGGGCGGUCUCCUCCUAAAGAGUAACGGAGGAGUACGAAGGUGCGCUCAGACCGGUCGGAAAUCGGUCGCAGAGUAUAAAGGCAAAAGCGCGCUUGACUGCGAGACAGACACGUCGAGCAGGUACGAAAGUAGGUCUUAGUGAUCCGGUGGUUCUGUAUGGAAGGGCCAUCGCUCAACGGAUAAAAGGUACUCCGGGGAUAACAGGCUGAUACCGCCCAAGAGUUCAUAUCGACGGCGGUGUUUGGCACCUCGAUGUCGGCUCAUCACAUCCUGGGGCUGAAGCCGGUCCCAAGGGUAUGGCUGUUCGCCAUUUAAAGUGGUACGCGAGCUGGGUUUAGAACGUCGUGAGACAGUUCGGUCCCUAUCUGCCGUGGACGUUUGAGAUUUGAGAGGGGCUGCUCCUAGUACGAGAGGACCGGAGUGGACGAACCUCUGGUGUUCCGGUUGUCACGCCAGUGGCAUUGCCGGGUAGCUAUGUUCGGAAAAGAUAACCGCUGAAAGCAUCUAAGCGGGAAACUUGCCUCAAGAUGAGAUCUCACUGGGAACUUGAUUCCCCUGAAGGGCCGUCGAAGACUACGACGUUGAUAGGCUGGGUGUGUAAGCGUUGUGAGGCGUUGAGCUAACCAGUACUAAUUGCCCGUGAGGCUUGACCAU